rnacentral:tRNA from 1 species
CCGUUUCAACGUGUACAGCCACAUGAAGCCACCACGGGAGUGCCACAUCGCUGGCAAGGCGUGGAAUGGG